CCACGCGGACGACCGCGCGCGCAAUCGACUCACCGGGGACGACCCCA
rnacentral:ncRNA from 1 species